rnacentral:rRNA from 1 species
AUUGAACGCUGGCGGCAGGCUUAACACAUGCAAGUCGAGCGAGCGGCGGACGGGUGAGUAAUGUCUGGGAAACUGCCUGAUGGAGGGGGAUAACUACUGGAAACGGUGGCUAAUACCGCAUACCAUCGGAUGUACCCAUAUGGGAUUAGCUAGUAGGUGGGGUAAUGGCUCACCUAGGCGACGAUCCCUAGCUGGUCUGAGAGGAUGACCAGCCACACUGGAACUGAGACACGGCCCAGACUCCUACGGGAGGCAGCAGUGGGGAAUAUUGCACAAUGGGCGCAAGCCUGAUGCAGCCAUGCCGCGUGUAUGAAGAAGGCCUUCGGGUUGUAAAGUACUUUCAGCGGGGAGGCGUUACCCGCAGAAGAAGCACCGGCUAACUCCGUGCCAGCAGCCGCGGUAAUAC